rnacentral:rRNA from 1 species
GGAGAUAGCUGGUUCUCCCCGAAAGCUAUUUAGGUAGCGCCUCGUGAAUUCAUCUCCGGGGGUAGAGCACUGUUUCGGCUAGGGGGUCAUCCCGACUUACCAACCCGAUGCAAACUGCGAAUACCGGAGAAUGUUAUCACGGGAGACACACGGCGGGUGCUAACGUCCGUCGUGAAGAGGGAAACAACCCAGACCGCCAGCUAAGGUCCCAAAGUCAUGGUUAAGUGGGAAACGAUGUGGGAAGGCCCAGACAGCCAGGAUGUUGGCUUAGAAGCAGCCAUCAUUUAAAGAAAGCGUAAUAGCUCACUGGUCGAGUCGGCCUGCGCGGAAGAUGUAACGGGGCUAAACCAUGCACCGAAGCUGCGGCAGCGACACUAUGUGUUGUUGGGUAGGGGAGCGUUCUGUAAGCCUGUGAAGGUGUGCUGUGAGGCAUGCUGGAGGUAUCAGAAGUGCGAAUGCUGACAUAAGUAACGAUAAAGCGGGUGAAAAGCCCGCUCGCCGGAAGACCAAGGGUUCCUGUCCAACGUUAAUCGGGGCAGGGUGAGUCGACCCCUAAGGCGAGGCCGAAAGGCGUAGUCGAUGGGAAACAGGUUAAUAUUCCUGUACUUGGUGUUACUGCGAAGGGGGGACGGAGAAGGCUAUGUUGGCCGGGCGACGGUUGUCCCGGUUUAAGCGUGUAGGCUGGUUUUCCAGGCAAAUCCGGAAAACCAAGGCUGAGGCGUGAUGACGAGGCACUACGGUGCUGAAGUGACAAAUGCCCUGCUUCCAGGAAAAGCCUCUAAGCAUCAGGUAACAUCAAAUCGUACCCCAAACCGACACAGGUGGUCAGGUAGAGAAUACCAAGGCGCUUGAGAGAACUCGGGUGAAGGAACUAGGCAAAAUGGUGCCGUAACUUCGGGAGAAGGCACGCUGAUAUGUAGGUGAAGCGACUUGCUCGUGGAGCUGAAAUCAGUCGAAGAUACCAGCUGGCUGCAACUGUUUAUUAAAAACACAGCACUGUGCAAACACGAAAGUGGACGUAUAGGGUGUGACGCCUGCCCGGUGCCGGAAGGUUAAUUGAUGGGGUUAGCGCAAGCGAAGCUCUUGAUCGAAGCCCCGGUAAACGGCGGCCGUAACUAUAACGGUCCUAAGGUAGCGAAAUUCCUUGUCGGGUAAGUUCCGACCUGCACGAAUGGCGUAAUGAUGGCCAGGCUGUCUCCACCCGAGACUCAGUGAAAUUGAACUCGCUGUGAAGAUGCAGUGUACCCGCGGCAAGACGGAAAGACCCCGUGAACCUUUACUAUAGCUUGACACUGAACAUUGAGCCUUGAUGUGUAGGAUAGGUGGGAGGCUUUGAAGCGUGGACGCCAGUCUGCGUGGAGCCAACCUUGAAAUACCACCCUUUAAUGUUUGAUGUUCUAACGUUGGCCCGUAAUCCGGGUUGCGGACAGUGUCUGGUGGGUAGUUUGACUGGGGCGGUCUCCUCCUAAAGAGUAACGGAGGAGCACGAAGGUUGGCUAAUCCUGGUCGGACAUCAGGAGGUUAGUGCAAUGGCAUAAGCCAGCUUGACUGCGAGCGUGACGGCGCGAGCAGGUGCGAAAGCAGGUCAUAGUGAUCCGGUGGUUCUGAAUGGAAGGGCCAUCGCUCAACGGAUAAAAGGUACUCCGGGGAUAACAGGCUGAUACCGCCCAAGAGUUCAUAUCGACGGCGGUGUUUGGCACCUCGAUGUCGGCUCAUCACAUCCUGGGGCUGAAGUAGGUCCCAAGGGUAUGGCUGUUCGCCAUUUAAAGUGGUACGCGAGCUGGGUUUAGAACGUCGUGAGACAGUUCGGUCCCUAUCUGCCGUGGGCGCUGGAGAACUGAG